rnacentral:rRNA from 1 species
ACGAAGGGAGCUAGCGUUGUUCGGAAUCACUGGGCGUAAAGCGCACGUAGGCGGAUUUGUUAGUCAGGGGUGAAAUCCCGGGGCUCAACCUCGGAACUGCCUUUGAUACUGCAAAUCUCGAGUCCGGAAGAGGUGGGUGGAAUUCCUAGUGUAGAGGUGAAAUUCGUAGAUAUUAGGAAGAACACCGGUGGCGAAGGCGGCCCACUGGUCCGGUACUGACGCUGAGGUGCGAAAGCGUGGGGAGCAAACAGGA